rnacentral:rRNA from 1 species
CUACGGGGGGCAGCAGUGAGGAAUAUUGCACAAUGGAGGAAACUCUGAUGCAGCAACGCCGCGUGGAGGAUGACGCAUUUCGGUGUGUAAACUCCUUUUAUAUGUCAAGAAAAUGACGGUAGCAUAUGAAUAAGCACCGGCUAACUCCGUGCCAGCAGCCGCGGUAAUACGGAGGGUGCAAGCGUUACCCGGAAUCACUGGGCGUAAAGGACGCGUAGGCGGGAUAUCAAGUCAGGUGUGAAAUCCUACAGCUUAACUGUAGAACUGCACUUGAAACUGGUAACCUAGAGUAUGGGAGGGGGAGAUGGAAUUAGUGGUGUAGGGGUAAAAUCCGUAGAUGUCACUAGGAAUACCUAAAGCGAAGGCGAUCUCCUGGAACAUAACUGACGCUAAGGCGUGAAAGCGUGGGGAGCAAACAGGAUUAGAUACCCUCGUAGUC